rnacentral:rRNA from 1 species
GAUGAACGCUGGCGGCGUGCCUAAUACAUGCAAGUCGAGCGAACGGACGAGAAGCUUGCUUCUCUGAUGUUAGCGGCGGACGGGUGAGUAACACGUGGAUAACCUACCUAUAAGACUGGGAUAACUUCGGGAAACCGGAGCUAAUACCGGAUAAUAUUUUGAACCGCAUGGUUCAAAAGUAAAAGACGGUCUUGCUGUCACUUAUAGAUGGAUCCGCGCUGCAUUAGCUAGUUGGUAAGGUAACGGCUUACCAAGGCAACGAUGCAUAGCCGACCUGAGAGGGUGAUCGGCCACACUGGAACUGAGACACGGUCCAGACUCCUACGGGAGGCAGCAGUAGGGAAUCUUCCGCAAUGGGCGAAAGCCUGACGGAGCAACGCCGCGUGAGUGAUGAAGGUCUUCGGAUCGUAAAACUCUGUUAUUAGGGAAGAACAUAUGUGUAAGUAACUGUGCACAUCUUGACGGUACCUAAUCAGAAAGCCACGGCUAACUACGUGCCAGCAGCCGCGGUAAUACGUAGGUGGCAAGCGUUAUCCGGAAUUAUUGGGCGUAAAGCGCGCGUAGGCGGUUUUUUAAGUCUGAUGUGAAAGCCCACAGCUCAACCGUGGAGGGUCAUUGGAAACUGGAAAACUUGAGUGCAGAAGAGGAAAGUGGAAUUCCAUGUGUAGCAGUGAAAUGCGCAGAGAUAUGGAGGAACACCAGUGGCGAAGGCGACUUUCUGGUCUGUAACUGACGCUGAUGUGCGAAAGCGUGGGGAUCAAACAGGAUUAGAUACCCUGGUAGUCCACGCCGUAAACGAUGAGUGCUAAGUGUUAGGGGGUUUCCGCCCCUUAGUGCUGCAGCUAACGCAUUAAGCACUCCGCCUGGGGAGUACGACCGCAAGGUUGAAACUCAAAGGAAUUGACGGGGACCCGCACAAGCGGUGGAGCAUGUGGUUUAAUUCGAAGCAACGCGAAGAACCUUACCAAAUCUUGACAUCCUUUGACAACUCUAGAGAUAGAGCCUUCCCCUUCGGGGGACAAAGUGACAGGUGGUGCAUGGUUGUCGUCAGCUCGUGUCGUGAGAUGUUGGGUUAAGUCCCGCAACGAGCGCAACCCUUAAGCUUAGUUGCCAUCAUUAAGUUGGGCACUCUAAGUUGACUGCCGGUGACAAACCGGAGGAAGGUGGGGAUGACGUCAAAUCAUCAUGCCCCUUAUGAUUUGGGCUACACACGUGCUACAAUGGACAAUACAAAGGGCAGCGAAACCGCGAGGUCAAGCAAAUCCCAUAAAGUUGUUCUCAGUUCGGAUUGUAGUCUGCAACUCGACUACAUGAAGCUGGAAUCGCUAGUAAUCGUAGAUCAGCAUGCUACGGUGAAUACGUUCCCGGGUCU